CAAUAGCGUAUAUUUAAGUUGUUGCAGUUAAAAAGCUCGUAGUUGGAUUUGUGGUUCGUCCCGCCGGCUGGGUCAUUGACCUUUGCUGUGCUGGUCGUCCAUCCUUGGGUGGAAUCUGUGUGGCAUUAGGUUGUCGCGCAGGGGAUGCCCAUCGUUUACUGUGAAAAAAUUAGAGUGUUCAAAGCAGGCUUAUGCCGUUGAAUAUAUUAGCAUGGAAUAAUGAUAUAGGACCUUGGUACUAUUUUGUUGGUUUGCGCACUGAGGUAAUGAUUAAUAGGGACAGUUGGGGGUAUUCGUAUUCCAUUGUAAGAGGUGAAAUUCUUGGAUUUUUGGAAGACGAACUACUGCGAAAGCAUUUACCAAGGAUGUUUNCAUUAA
rnacentral:rRNA from 1 species